UACGGGGGGGGCAAGCGUUGUUCGGAAUUACUGGGCGUAAAGGGCUCGUAGGUGGCCGACUAAGUCAGACGUGAAAUCCCUCAGCUUAACUGGGGAACUGCGUCUGAUACUGGAUGGCUUGAGUUUGGGAGAGGGAUGCGGAAUUCCAGGUGUAGCGGUGAAAUGCGUAGAUAUUGGGAAGAACACCAGUGGCGAAGGCGGCUAUCUGGACGGUUUCUGACGCUAAGACGCGAAAGCGUGGGGAGCAAACAGG
rnacentral:rRNA from 1 species